rnacentral:misc_RNA from 1 species
GUGUGUUGCGCUCCGCGUGUCUAAGUGCAGUGUCUAAGCGAGUGUUGACAACCACUUACAUAAAUCUGAAAAAGCCUUAGACCUUACUCGUUCGAGCUCGUUUCGCGUCUAUUAUAUUUACACUGUGAAAGCUCUCACGUGUUGCUGGGACGCGGUGGUCUGUAAGCUGUGGGCUGAGGUUCCAGCCCUCCCUCCUCACAGCUCGGGGACUAGUCACUCGCCAAACUUCUCAACUUUCUCCAGAUUUUUAUGUAUUUGCUUCGCUGUGAUCCCUCCGAGGACGACAAUGAUGACGACGACGACGCUGAAGGUGCUGCUAACGGUGAUAGUGUUGGGAGCGACUACCUCCAGCACCAGGACCCACGACGCACACCAGCCGCUACGAGAUCUCAGGCAGUUCGGCUACCAUCACCACCCACGCCUCCACCAGCACCACGACCACCAUCACCCACGCC